AACGCGAAGAACCUUACCAAGGUUUGACAUGCAGGGAAAAGCCGUAGAGAUAUGGUGUCCGUAAGGGUCCUGCACAGGUGGUGCAUGGCUGUCGUCAGCUCGUGUCGUGAGAUGUUGGGUUAAGUCCCGCAACGAGCGCAACCCUUAUCGUUAGUUGCCAGCGGGUUAUGCCGGGCACUCUAGCGAAACCGCCUCGGAUAACGGGGAGGAAGGUGGGGAUGACGUCAAGUCCUCAUGGCCUUUAUGUCCAGGGCUACACACGUGCUACAAUGGCCGGUACAAACCGUCGCAAACCCGCGAGGGGGAGCUAAUCGGAAAAAGCCGGCCUCAGUUCGGAUUGGAGUCUGCAACUCGACUCCAUGAAGCUGGAAUCGCUAGUAAUCGCGGAUCAGCACGCCGCGGUGAAUACGUUCCCGGGCCUUGUACACACCGCAUAC
rnacentral:rRNA from 1 species